ensembl:lncRNA
GGUAAUGUAUCAACAACAAGGUCUAUAUGGUAUCAACAACAGGGUCUAUAUGGUAACGUAUCAACAACAGGGUCUAUCUGGUAACGUAUCAACAACAAGGUCUAUCUGGUAUCAACAACAGGGUCUAUCUGGUAUCAACAACAGGGUCUAUCUGGUAUCAACAACAGGGUCUAUACGGUAAUGUAUCAACAACAGGGUCUAUCUGGUAUCAUAAACAGGGUCUAUCUGGUAACGUAUCAACAACAGGGUCUAUCUGGUAUCAACAACAGGGUCUAUAUGGUAACGUAUCAACAACAGGGUCUUUCUGGUAUCAACAACAGGGUCUAUCUGGUAUCAACAACAGGGUCUAUCUGGUAAUGUAUCAACAACAGGGUCUAUCUGGUAUCAACAACAGGGUCUAUAUGGUAACGUAUCAACAACAGGGUCUAUCUGGUACCAACAACAGGGUCUAUGUGGUAUCAUCAACAGGGUCUAUAUGGUAAUGUAUCAACAACAGGGUCUAUCUGGUAACGUAUCAACAACAAGGUCUAUAUGGUAUCAACAACAGGGUCUAUAUGGUAACGUAUCAACAACAGGGUCUAUCUGGUA